rnacentral:rRNA from 1 species
GACGAACGCUGGCGGCGUGCUUAACACAUGCAAGUCGAACGGAAAGGCCCUGCUUUUGUGGGGUGCUCGAGUGGCGAACGGGUGAGUAACACGUGAGUAACCUGCCCUUGACUUUGGGAUAACUUCAGGAAACUGGGGCUAAUACCGGAUAGGAGCUCCUGCUGCAUGGUGGGGGUUGGAAAGUUUCGGCGGUUGGGGAUGGACUCGCGGCUUAUCAGCUUGUUGGUGGGGUAGUGGCUUACCAAGGCUUUGGCGGGUAGCCGGCCUGAGAGGGUGACCGGCAACAUUGGGACUCAGAAACGGCCCAGACUCCUACGGGAGGCAGCAGUGGGGAAUAUUGCACAAUGGGCGGAAGCCUGAUGCAGCAACGCCGCGUGCGGGAUGACGGCCUUCGGGUUGUAAACCGCUUUCGCCUGUGACGAAGCGUGAGUGACGGUAAUGGGUAAAGAAGCACCGGCUAACUACGUG